rnacentral:rRNA from 1 species
UACGGAGGGUGCGAGCGUUGUCCGGAAUCACUGGGCGUAAAGAGCUCGUAGGCGGUCUGUCGCGUCUGCUGUGAAAACUCAGGGCUUAACCCUGAGCUUGCAGUGGGUACGGGCAGACUAGAGUGCGGUAGGGGAGACUGGAAUUCCUGGUGUAGCGGUGAAAUGCGCAGAUAUCAGGAAGAACACCAACGGCGAAGGCAGCUCGCUGGGACGGUACUGACGCUGGAGACGCGAAAAGCGUGGGGAGCGAACAGG